rnacentral:piRNA from 1 species
UUUUAUUAGCACUAAGGAAACAGCCUAUAU